AGCAGUCGCCACGGGAAUACGUAGGGUGCAAGCGUUAAUCGGAAUUACUGGGCGUAAAGCGUGCGCAGGCGGUUAUAUAAGUCAGAUGUGAAAUCCCCGGGCUCAACCUGGGAACUGCAUUUGAGACUGUAUGGCUAGAGUGUGUCAGAGGAGGGUAGAAUUCCACGUGUAGCAGUGAAAUGCGUAGAGAUGUGGAGGAACACCGAUGGCGAAGGCAGCCCCCUGGGCCAAUACUGACGCUCAUGCACGAAAGCGUGGGGAGCAAACAGGAUUAGAGACCCGGGUAGUCCUGUCUCUUAUACC
rnacentral:rRNA from 1 species